rnacentral:rRNA from 1 species
GUAGGGAAUAUUGCGCAAUGGACGCAAGUCUGACGCAGCAACGCCGCGUGGGUGAUGACGUUUUUCGGAAUGUAAAACCCUGUCAGUGGGGAAGAACCGUAUCGGGAGUCACUGCCCGGUGCCUGACGGUACCCACAGAGGAAGUCCCGGCUAACUCCGUGCCAGCAGCCGCGGUAAUACGGGGGGGACAAGCGUUGUUCGGAUUUACUGGGUGUAAAGGGCGCGUAGGCGGGCCGCAAAGUCGGCGGUGUCAUCCCCGGGCUUAACCCGGGGGCUGCCGUCGAUACUGGCGGUCUUGAGUACAGGAGAGGAGAGUGGAAUUCCAGGUGUAGCGGUGAAAUGCGUAGAUAUCUGGAAGAACACCCGUUGCGAAGGCGGCUCUCUGGACUGCUACUGACGCUGAGGCGCGAAGGCUUGGGGAGCAAACAGGAUUAGAUACCCUAGUAGUCC